rnacentral:rRNA from 1 species
UACGUAGGGUGCGAGCGUUAAUCGGAAUUACUGGGCGUAAAGCGUGCGCAGGCGGUUUUGUAAGCCAGAUGUGAAAUCCCCGGGCUUAACCUGGGAAUGGCAUUUGGGACUGCAAGGCUGGAGUUUGGCAGAGGAGACUGGAAUUCCUGGUGUAGCAGUGAAAUGCGUAGAUAUCAGGAGGAACACCGAUGGCGAAGGCAGGUCUCUGGGCAGUAACUGACGCUGAGGAGCGAAAGCGUGGGGAGCGAACAGG